rnacentral:rRNA from 1 species
UACGUAGGGGGCAAGCGUUGUCCGGAUUUAUUGGGCGUAAAGAGCUCGUAGGUGGUUCGGUAAGUCGGAUGCGAAAUCUCCAGGCUCAACCUGGAGGGGUCAUUCGAUACUGCCGUGACUAGAGGUCGGUAGGGGAGUGUGGAAUUCCUGGUGGAGCGGUGAAAUGCGCAGAUAUCAGGAGGAACACCCGUAGCGAAGGCGGCACUCUGGGCCAGUAUUGACGCUGAGGAGCGAAAGCGUGGGGAGCGAACAGG